rnacentral:rRNA from 1 species
AUAAGGGCGCACGGUGGAUGCCUUGGCACUAGAAGCCGAUGAAGGACGUGACUAACGACGAAAUGCUUUGGGGAGCUGUAAGUGAGCAAUGAUCCAGAGAUGUCCGAAUGGGGGAACCCGGCAGGUAAUGCCUGUCACUCAUUACUGUUAAGGUAAUGUAGAGGAAGACGCAGUGAACUGAAACAUCUAAGUAGCUGUAGGAAGAGAAAGCAAAAGCGAUUGCCUUAGUAGCGGCGAGCGAAACGGCAAGAGGGCAAACCGAAGAGUUUACUCUUCGGGGUUGUAGGACUGCAACGUGGACUUAAAGAUUAUAGAAGAACUACCUGGGAAGGUAGGCCAAAGAGAGUAAUAGCCUCGUAUUCGAAAUAGUCUUUAUACCUAGCAGUAUCCUGAGUACGGCGAGACACGAGAAAUCUCGUCGGAAUCUGGGAGGACCAUCUCCCAACCCUAAAUACUCUCUAGUGACCGAUAGUGAACCAGUACCGUGAGGGAAAGGUGAAAAGCACCCCGGGAGGGGAGUGAAAUAGAACCUGAAACCGUGUGCCUACAACAAGUUCGAGCCCGUUAAUGGGUGAGAGCGUGCCUUUUGUAGAAUGAACCGGCGAGUUACGAUAUGAUGCGAGGUUAAGUUGAAGAGACGGAGCCGUAGGGAAACCGAGUCUUAAUAGGGCGCAUUAGUAUCAUGUCGUAGACCCGAAACCAUGUGACCUACCCAUGAGCAGGUUGAAGGUGAGGUAAAACUCACUGGAGGACCGAACCAGGGCACGUUGAAAAGUGCUUGGAUGACUUGUGGGUAGCGGAGAAAUUCCAAACGAACUUGGAGAUAGCUGGUUCUCUCCGAAAUAGCUUUAGGGCUAGCGUCGAUGUUAAGUCUCUUGGAGGUAGAGCACUGUUUGGGUGAGGGGUCCAUCCCGGAUUACCAAUCUCAGAUAAACUCCGAAUGCCAAUGAGAUAUAAUCGGCAGUCAGACUGCGAGUGCUAAGAUCCGUAGUCGAAAGGGAAACAGCCCAGACCACCAGCUAAGGUCCCAAAAUAUAUGUUAAGUGGAAAAGGAUGUGGGGUUGCACAGACAACUAGGAUGUUAGCUUAGAAGCAGCUAUUCAUUCAAAGAGUGCGUAAUAGCUCACUAGUCGAGUGACCCUGCGCCGAAAAUGUACCGGGGCUAAAACAUAUUACCGAAGCUGUGGAUACCUUUAUAGGUAUGGUAGGAGAGCGUUCUAUGUGCGAAGAAGGUGUACCGUGAGGAGUGCUGGAGCGCAUAGAAGUGAGAAUGCCGGUAUGAGUAGCGAAAGACAGGUGAGAAUCCUGUCCACCGUAAGACUAAGGUUUCCAGGGGAAGGCUCGUCCGCCCUGGGUUAGUCGGGACCUAAGGAGAGACCGAAAGGUGUAUCCGAUGGACAACAGGUUGAUAUUCCUGUACUAGAGUAUAUAGUGAUGGAGGGACGCAGUAGGCUAACUAAACCAGACGAUUGGAAGUGUCUGGCCAAGCAGUGAGGUGUGAUAUGAGUCAAAUGCUUAUAUCUUUAACAUUGAGCUGUGAUGGGGAGCGAAGUUUAGUAGCGAAGUUAGUGAUGUCACACUGCCGAGAAAAGCUUCUAGCGUUAAUUAUACUCUACCCGUACCGCAAACCGACACAGGUAGUCGAGGCGAGUAGCCUCAGGUGAGCGAGAGAACUCUCGUUAAGGAACUCGGCAAAAUGGCCCCGUAACUUCGGGAGAAGGGGCGCUGACUGAUGGUCAGCCGCAGUGAAUAGGCCCAAGCAACUGUUUAUCAAAAACACAGCUCUCUGCUAAAUCGUAAGAUGAUGUAUAGGGGGUGACGCCUGCCCGGUGCUGGAAGGUUAAGAGGAGUGCUUAGCGUAAGCGAAGGCAUGAAUUGAAGCCCCAGUAAACGGCGGCCGUAACUAUAACGGUCCUAAGGUAGCGAAAUUCCUUGUCGGGUAAGUUCCGACCCGCACGAAAGGCGUAAUGAUUUGGGCACUGUCUCAACGAGAGACUCGGUGAAAUUUUAGUACCUGUGAAGAUGCAGGUUACCCGCGACAGGACGGAAAGACCCCAUGGAGCUUUACUGCAGUUUGAUAUUGAGUAUCUGUACCACAUGUACAGGAUAGGUAGGAGCCUAUGACCUCGGGACGCCAGUUUCGAGUGAGGCGUUGUUGGGAUACUACCCUUGUGUUAUGGCUACUCUAACCCAGAUAGGUUAUCCCUAUCGGAGACAGUGUCUGACGGGCAGUUUGACUGGGGCGGUCGCCUCCUAAAAGGUAACGGAGGCGCCCAAAGGUUCCCUCAGAAUGGUUGGAAAUCAUUCGCAGAGUGUAAAGGUAUAAGGGAGCUUGACUGCGAGAGCUACAACUCGAGCAGGGACGAAAGUCGGGCUUAGUGAUCCGGUGGUUCCGUAUGGAAGGGCCAUCGCUCAACGGAUAAAAGCUACCCUGGGGAUAACAGGCUUAUCUCCCCCAAGAGUUCACAUCGACGGGGAGGUUUGGCACCUCGAUGUCGGCUCGUCGCAUCCUGGGGCUGUAGUAGGUCCCAAGGGUUGGGCUGUUCGCCCAUUAAAGCGGCACGCGAGCUGGGUUCAGAACGUCGUGAGACAGUUCGGUCCCUAUCCGUCGCGGGCGUAGGAAAUUUGAGAGGAUCUGCUCCUAGUACGAGAGGACCAGAGUGGACUUACCGCUGGUGUACCAGUUGUUCUGCCAAGAGCAUCGCUGGGUAGCUAUGUAGGGAAGGGAUAAACGCUGAAAGCAUCUAAGUGUGAAGCCCACCUCAAGAUGAGAUUUCCCAUGAUUUUAUAUCAGUAAGAGCCCUGAGAGAUGAUCAGGUUGAUAGGUUAGAAGUGGAAGUGUGGUGACACAUGUAGCGGACUAAUACUAAUAGCUCGAGGACUUAUCC